rnacentral:rRNA from 1 species
UACGGGGGGGGCAAGCGUUGUUCGGAAUUACUGGGCGUAAAGGGCGCGUAGGCGGCCUGUUAAGUCACACGUGAAAUCCCUCGGCUCAACCGGGGAACUGCGUGUGAUACUGGCGGGCUUGAAUUCGGGAGAGGGAUGUGGAAUUCCAGGUGUAGCGGUGAAAUUCGUAGAUAUUCGCAAGAACACCAGUGGCGAAGGCGGCUCACUGGCCCGAUACUGACGCUGAGGCACGAAAGCGUGGGGAGCAAACAGG